GUUCUCGCUUAUCAACCUUUGUGAUCGACUCUCUGAAAUCCCUAACUGUACGUUUCUAUUUUGGAGCCACUUCGUCGUCUCUUAGCUUUUAUUCUUCCUUGCCGUUACUCUCAACGUCAUUUUGCAGUCCUAGGGUGGAAAAUAAAGUUCUCGCUGAGUAGAAUCAUUCUUCAGAAGAGCGUUGGCAAAGUGAAGAUGAAGCUUCAGCCCUUCCCCAUGUUCGUCGAGCUUGCUCUUUGCGGUCGCCGUAUUGGCUUAUCUCUUACUCCAAUAAACGAAAACAGAAAACAAGGGAGAAGCAGUGAACAACAACGACUUAGAAGGCCAUUCAAUCACCCAAGACCCAGUAGCAUCCGAAAAGAAGAAGCCCCAAACACAGUGAAUUCACUUAAUAAAAGUGAAGCAGUUGUUGCUUCUAAUGUGCUGGAUAAUAGUUUGGCUUUUGAUCCAACCCUCAAUAACAUUGCCAGAAAUGAGGAGGGCCUAGAUUUGGAGAGUCAGAAAAUCCUGCAACUGGGAAUCAAGAAAUAGACAUCAUGGUAUCUUUUAACCAAGAUUCACCACCCGAUCCAGAGAAAACUAGGCUGGAGGAAGCAGUAACACAUGCAGAGACUGCUUUCAAAGUUUACUUGACCUGCAGAAUGCUAAGAUAGUUUGCCAUUUGAUAGAUUUAUGCAACUAUCUCAUAAAUCUGGAAGAUGGUAGUUGGGGCUUAAAGAGAAAGCUGCAGAGAAGGAUACAUGCUUAAGGAGGCAAAGUCCUUUUAGAAGAUCUCAACAUGCUUUUGGAGGCAUUUGCAUUUUAAUUCCUUCAAAGCUUUCGUUUUCUGAGCAGUGCGCUGCUUUCUGCAUUUCCACUAUGUGAAACUUUCCGCAUUUGGUGAAGACAAAUCAUGCUACAGAGGAUCCAAUUUGGCAACUUCUCUCUGGCUGCAAAAAAUAGAUGAUCUGAGGAUGCAGAGUUGUGGCUGCAAGAUAUUAGUGUGUCUGACCAAAGUUUCCUGUCACGACAUGGAGAAUGGGACAACUCAGAGGUGAGGUUGAGACCCAAACCAUAACCUUCAUUCGAUCAUAAACACUAGCACAUGUACCCUGUAGAGUUGAAGAAGCCAGAGGUGGCAAAGAAAUUUCAAAUCCCUCCAGCAUUCUUCUCCAGUUCUCCUUCAUCAUCGUCCACACCGGUUAAUACUGGGAGAAGACUAGACAUUGCAACUUAAUGGAGUCUGGAUGAGAGAUCAAUUGUAAUUGAAAAUGAGUAUUUAAAGGUUUGUUUUCUCAUUGGCUUAAAACCACUGUUAAAUGCUAUAUUUGUAAUUUGUAUUAGUUAGAAUUGCUCUUUGUGCAGUCUAAAAGGAAAGUCCUAGAAAUGGAUGAAUUGUUUCAAGUGAAGGGUUGUGAAACUCUGUAUGCUAUUUGUGAUUAUGCUUUACAGAAAAUUUGCUCCAUUAGAGGGAACCUUCAAAAAAUUAGAGCAUUGCAUGGGUAGUCCUCUAAUUCCUUUAUCUUUUCUAUUUUUUUCACUAAGUUCAAUAUGUGUUUGUUUUGUUGAUCUUCGAUAGCUCUCUAGGCUCUAGCAACUUGAUCUAAGACGUUUGGUGAGGUUAAAAUGGAGGCCCCUUAUGUCACUCCCUUUGCCUUUUGUCUUUUUUGCUUAUAUUGUAACCUGUUAAUACUUUAGACUAAAUGGAAAGAAGAUUAAGCUUGCGAUUGAGACCCAUCAUGGUUUUAAUAAGGUUCAAGUCCUUUUUUACCCAAUUCAAUUGUGGUGUCCAAGGUUUGAUAAUGAUUUUUCAUUGGUUGUUUAUGCAUUGUUGGUUGAGCUAUGGUUGAAACAUGUGAGGAAAAUGAACCACAAAUGUUCCUGAUGAAAGACUAAGUUAAUAUUGGUAGGUGAGUCUAAAGAGAUAUAGUUGCUAUAGAUGAUGAAGAAUCACUAAAAGUGAUUAAUUUGUAACAAGUGAGAGACAUUAAAAGUUAUUAAUUUGUAACAUAUGAGAGAUAUUAAAAGUGACUAAUUUGUAAUUUGUGUGGAGAAUCAUUAAAAGUGAUUAUUUUAUAACGGAUGAGAGACAUUAAAAGUUAGUAUUAAUUUGUAACAGAUGAUAGGUGAAUUUGGUUUUAUGUAACCAUUACUCCAUGAGUUAAUUAGAUAAUUAGAAGAGCUGAAGAUGAAUAGCUAUGGAUGAGUCUCAUAAAUGAUAUAUAGAUAGUAGAUAGAAGGUUAGCCAAAUGGAACUCUGAUGCUAACCUUCUUCAAUAUCAGGUUUCCUGUAGUUCCUGUUUUUUUUUUUUUUUUAAUUAAAAUGCAUAAUUAGAACAACAAUGGUUGUUUUAUCACUUAUUUUACUGACAAGCUUGGGUUUUCAUGUUAUUUGGCACUUUGAAUCUUCCAUCCAAUAAAUUUAUGGGUUCUUUGCUGAUGAAUUCUCUCCUCUCUCAGACUUUUGCUCACUACAACACAGCCACUGAACAUGCAUGCUUCCCAACUGCAGCCUCAGGGUCAGCUCCCAAAAUCAUAAAAUUCACCAAAAUGGUUUUGUAACUUUAAGAGCUUAAUGUGGCUUUGAUGGGUGUCUUUGCAUUCAGCAAUUGGGUCUGUGCCUGUAUUUUGUGUUGUGAAAUAUAUUUCCCGUGUACAUCUUAGGGAUUUCCUUCUUGGGAUGCAUACUAAAGAAUUGGUAUUUAUGAUAUUGGUAGAGAGACACAUACCGUAAUUUGAAGCUUGCUGAUUUUUAUUGGCUCAA